rnacentral:rRNA from 1 species
GAUUGCAUCCCGGGGGUAGAGCUACUGGAUGCUUGCGGGCCCGUAUGGGGUACCAACAGCAGCCAAACUCCGAAUACCGUUGAUGUGUAUUCCGGCAGUGAGUCGGCGGGGGAUAAGCUCCGUCGUCGAGAGGGAGACAGCCCAGACCGUCGUCUAAGGUCCCGAAGCGUGUGCUAAGUGGGAAAGGAUGUGGAGUCGCAUAGACAGCCAGGAGGUUGGCUCAGAAGCAGCCAUCCUUGAAAGAGUGCGUAACAGCUCACUGGUCUAGUGGUUCCGCGCCGACAAUGUAGCGGGGCUCAAGCACACCACCGAAGACGCGGCAGUAUUUUGUACUGGGUAGGAGAGCGUCCCAUGAGGGGCGAAGCGGCCGUGUGAACGCGCCGUGGACUUCAUGGGAGUGAGAAUGCAGACAUGAGUAGCGAGAGACGGGUGAAGAUCCCGUCCGCUGGAUGACCAAGGGUUCCAGGGCCACGUUCAUCGUCCCUGGGUGAGUCGGGUCCUAAGGCGAGGCCGACAGGCGUAGUCGAAUGGAUGAACGGGUCGAUAUUCCCGUACCGGCUUUCAGCCGCCAAAACCGAGGCUUGGAGUACUAACCUCCGGGUCCGGGCUUACUGCUCCUUCGGGGGCGGGAUGCCCUGGCCUGUUGGGACCGAUCCUUGUAGUAGGUCAGCGCAGGAGUGACGCAGAAGGGUAGCCGGCCGCGGAGGUGGUCUUCCGUGGUCAAGCACGCAGGGCGUGGGACAGGCAAAUCCGUCCCGCAUGGGUCCGAGGUGCGAUGAUGGGGGCCUUAUGGCCCGAUAUCCGGUGAUCCCGGCUGCCGAGAAAAGCUUCGGCGUCAGGCUCGAAGCCGCCCGUACCCCAAACCGACACUGGUGGUCAGGUAGAGAAUACCAAAGCGAUCGAGCGAAUCCUGGUCAAGGAACUCGGCAAAUCACUCCCGUUCCUUCGGUUUAAGGGAGACCCCCGAUGGUGAACACACUUGCUGUGGGAGCUUUUGGGGGUGGCACAGACCAGGGGGUAGCGACUGUUUACCAAAAACACAGGUGCAUGCGAAGGCGCAAGCCGCUGUAUAUGCACUGACGCCUGCCCGGUGCCGGAAGGUUAAGAGGAUCCGUCAGUCCUUCGGGAUGAAGCGGUGAAUUCAAGCCCCGGUAAACGGCGGUGGUAACUAUAACCAUCCUAAGGUAGCGAAAUUCCUUGUCGGGUAAGUUCCGACCUGCACGAAUGGCGUAACGACUUCCCCACUGUCUCGACCAGGAGCUCGGCGAAAUUGCAGUACGAGUAAAGAUGCUCGUUAAGCGCAGAAGGACGAAAAGACCCCGGGACCUUUACUAUACCUUGGUAUUGGCGUUAGGCGCGGAUUGUGUAGCAUAGGCGGGAGGCUUCGAAGCGUGGGCGCCAGCUCAUGUGGAGCCGCAAGGUGAAAUACCGCUCUGUUCUCGUUUGACGUCUCACCUCGAACAGUCAUCCUGUUCAGGGACAGUGCCUGGCGGGUAGUUUAACUGGGGCGGUUGCCUCCCAAAGAGUAACGGAGGCGCUCAAAGGUCCGCUCAGCCCGGUUGGCAAUCGGGUGUCGAGUGUAAUCGCACAAGCGGGCUUGACUGCGAGGACGACGGUCCGAGCAGGGACGAAAGUCGGAGAUAGUGAUCCGGUGCCGGCGCACGGGCGCGGCAUCGCUCAACGGAUAAAAGGUACCCCGGGGAUAACAGGCUGAUCAUUCCCAAGAGUCCAUAUCGACGGGAUGGUUUGGCACCUCGAUGUCGGCUCGUCGCAUCCUGGGGCUGGAGCAGGUCCCAAGGGUUCGGCUGUUCGCCGAUUAAAGCGGCACGCGAGCUGGGUUCAGAACGUCGUGAGACAGUUUGGUCUCUAUCCUCUGCGCUCGUUGGAAUCCUGAGGAGGCCUGCCCAUAGUACGAGAGGACCUGGGUGGACGAACCUCUGGUAUGCCGGUUGUC